rnacentral:rRNA from 1 species
GAUCGGACCCCGGACGUGAAGUCGACGAUGGUCGGUGGGCUGGUUUUGGUAAGCAGAACGGGCGAUUCGGGAUGAACCGGAAGCGGGGAGAAAGGGCCCGAGAUUGCGUCGACGCGGAUCCCGAAAAGGGCGUCGAUCCGUCGCGACAGCGGGACGGUGGUCAUGGAAGUCGAAAUCCGCUAAGAAGCGUGUAAAAACGUACCCGCCCAACGGAUCGGCCCCGAAAAUUGAUGGCGCUCGAACGCAACCCUCGAACCCCGCCGACGGAGGCUGGGGGAGGCCCCGUCGAGUAGGCGGACGCGCGGGUCGCUUCGACGCUCUCGCGCGAGCGGGGGCGGAGCGGCCCGUGGUGCAGAUCUUGGUGGUAGUAGCGAUCACCCAGGCGAGAACCCUGAGGGCCGAAGUGGAGAAGGGGUUUCUCGAGAACGGCACUCGCUCGAGAGUUAGUCGAUCCUAAGCUGCCGGCGGCAGCCACGAAACGGUCGAUCGGGCGCGAGCCCGGCAGCCACGACCGGGCAGCGAAAGGGAAUUGGGAACCUCCUUCCCAAACCCGGAACCG